rnacentral:rRNA from 1 species
AAAAGUUAUGUAAGGGCGUAUGGGGGAUGCCUAGGCUCUCAGAGGCGAAGAAGGACGUGAUAAGCUGCGAAAAGUUGCGUGGAUUGGCACAUACGAGUUGAUACGCAAAUAUCCGAAUGGGGCAACCCAGUACAUUGAAGAUGUACUACAUCGUAAAGAUGGGCAAACCCGCUGAACUGAAACAUCUAAGUAGGCGGAGGAGAAGAAAACAAAAGUGAUUCCCAAAGUAGUGGCGAGCGAAAUGGGAACAGCCCAAACCCAUAUUGUUACGGCAAUAUGGGGGUUGUAGGACCCAGAUAUAGGUUGUAAAGCUGGAUUAGAAGUGUUUGGAAAGACACACCAUAGAGAGUGAUAGUCUCGUAUAGGCACAGUUUUAUAAAUCUUAUGGGUAUCCUGAGUAGGUCGGGGCACGUGGAACCUUGACUGAAUCCGCCGGGACCAUCCGGUAAGGCUAAAUACUCCUGAGAGACCGAUAGUGAACUAGUACCGUGAGGGAAAGGUGAAAAGAACCGUGAAUAACGGAGUGAAAUAGACCCUGAAACCAUACGCCUACAAGCGGUCGGAGCAGCGCAAGCUGUGACGGCGUGCCUUUUGCAUAAUGAGCCUACGAGUUACUGUUACCAGCGAGGAUAAGUAUUUCAGAUACGAAUCCGCAGCGAAAGCGAGUCUGAAUAGGGCGUCAAUAGUUGGUAGUAGUAGACGCGAAACCUGGUGAUCUACCCUUGGGCAGGUUGAAGCGCUGGUAACACAGCGUGGAGGACCGAACUGGUUGUCGUUGAAAAGACUUCGGAUGACCUGAGGGUAGGGGUGAAAGGCCAAUCAAACUGGGAAAUAGCUCGUACUCCCCGAAAUGCAUUUAGGUGCAGCGUUGAUGUGAGUUUAAUAGAGGUAGAGCUACUGAUUGGAUGCGGGGGUUUCAUCGCCUACCAAUUCCUGACAAACUCCGAAUGCUAUUAAAUGCUCAUCAGCAGUGAGGGUAUGGGUGCUAAGGUCCAUAUCCUAAAGGGAAAGAACCCGGACCAUCAGCUAAGGUCCCCAAAUAUAUGCUAAGUUGACCAAACGCGGUCUGACUGCACUGACAGCUAGGAUGUUGGCUUGGAAGCAGCCAUACAUUUAAAGAGUGCGUAACAGCUCACUAGUCGAGCGGUUGGGCAUGGAUAAUAAACGGGCAUAAGCAUAUUACCGAAGCUAUGGGGUUAUUACAUAAGUAAUAUACCGGUAGGGGAGCAUUCUAUUGGCGUUGAAGCUAAAGGCGUGAGCCAUAGUGGAGCCUGAUAGAAAAGAAAAUGUAGGCAUAAGUAACGAUAAGGCAGGCGAGAAACCUGCCCGCCGAAAGAUCAAGGUUUCCUCAGCUAUGCUAAUCAGCUGAGGGUUAGUCGGGGACUAACGCGAACCCGAGUAGGGGUAGUGGAUGUACAACGGGUUAAUAUUCCCGUACCAUUAAUCUACUAAAAGUGACGGAAUGAGAUAGCUACCGCGUACUGACGGAAUAGUACGUUUAAGGAGUUGUUAUGACUUCAAAAGUACACUGAGGCUUCGGCUGAUGUGAGUGUGGCAACAACGUUUCCAAGAAAAGCGAAGAUUAAUGCCCGUACCGUAAACCGACACAGGUGAUUGGGAUGAGAAUUCUAAGGCGCUCGAGAGAUUCAUGGCUAAGGAACUAGGCAAAAUAGACCUGUAACUUCGGGAGAAAGGUCGCCUAUCGUAAGAUAGGCCGCAGUGAAAAGGUCCAAGCGACUGUUUAUCAAAAACACAGGACUCUGCAAAAUCGAAAGAUGAGGUAUAGGGUCUGACACCUGCCCGGUGCUGGAAGGUUAAGAGGAGAGCUUAGUGGUAACACGAAGGUUUGAAUUGAAGCCCCAGUAAACGGCGGCCGUAACUAUAACGGUCCUAAGGUAGCGAAAUUCCUUGUCGGGUAAG